rnacentral:rRNA from 1 species
GAUGAACGCUGGCGGCGUGCCUAACACAUGCAAGUCGAGCGAACAGACGAGGAGUUUGCUCCUUUGACGUUAGCGGCGGACGGGUGAGUAACACGUGGAUAACCUACCUAUAAGACUGGGAUAACCUCGGGACACCGGCGCUAAUACCGGAUAAUAUAUUGAACCGCAGGGUUCAAUAGAGAAAGACGGUUUUGCUGUCUCUUAUAGCUGGAUCCGCGCCGCAUUGGCUGGUUGGUAAGGUAACGGCCUAUCAAGGCUACGAUGCGUAGCCGACCUGAGAGGGUGAUCGGCCACACUGGAACUGAGACACGGUCCAGACGCCUACGGGAGGCAGCAGUAGGGUAUCUUCCGCAGUGGGCGAAAGCAUGACAGAGCAAGGCCGCGUGAGAGAUGAAGGUCUUCCGAUCGUAAUACUCUCUUAUUGGGGGAGAACAAAUGUGGAAGUAGAUGUGCCCGUCGUGACGGUAACGAGUCAGAAAGCCACGGCUAACUACGUG